UUAAGCGACUAAGCGUACACGGUGGAUGCCCUGGCAGUCAGAGGCGAUGAAGGACGUGCUAAUCUGCGAUAAGCGUCGGUAAGGUGAUAUGAACCGUUAUAACCGGCGAUUUCCGAAUGGGGAAACCCAGUGUGAUUCGUCACACUAUCAUUAACUGAAUCCAUAGGUUAAUGAGGCGAACCGGGGGAACUGAAACAUCUAAGUACCCCGAGGAAAAGAAAUCAACCGAGAUUCCCCCAGUAGCGGCGAGCGAACGGGGAGCAGCCCAGAGCCUGAAUCAGUGUGUGUGUUAGUGGAAGCGUCUGGAAAGGCGCGCGAUACAGGGUGACAGCCCCGUACACAAAAAUGCACAUACUGUGAGCUCGAUGAGUAGGGCGGGACACGUGGUAUCCUGUCUGAAUAUGGGGGGACCAUCCUCCAAGGCUAAAUACUCCUGACUGACCGAUAGUGAACCAGUACCGUGAGGGAAAGGCGAAAAGAACCCCGGCGAGGGGAGUGAAAAAGAACCUGAAACCGUGUACGUACAAGCAGUGGGAGCACGCUUAGGCGUGUGACUGCGUACCUUUUGUAUAAUGGGUCAGCGACUUAUAUUCUGUAGCAAGGUUAACCGAAUAGGGGAGCCGAAGGGAAACCGAGUCUUAACUGGGCGUUAAGUUGCAGGGUAUAGACCCGAAACCCGGUGAUCUAGCCAUGGGCAGGUUGAAGGUUGGGUAACACUAACUGGAGGACCGAACCGACUAAUGUUGAAAAAUUAGCGGAUGACUUGUGGCUGGGGGUGAAAGGCCAAUCAAACCGGGAGAUAGCUGGUUCUCCCCGAAAGCUAUUUAGGUAGCGCCUCGUGAAUUCAUCUCCGGGGGUAGAGCACUGUUUCGGCAAGGGGGUCAUCCCGACUUACCAACCCGAUGCAAACUGCGAAUACCGGAGAAUGUUAUCACGGGAGACACACGGCGGGUGCUAACGUCCGUCGUGAAGAGGGAAACAACCCAGACCGCCAGCUAAGGUCCCAAAGUCAUGGUUAAGUGGGAAACGAUGUGGGAAGGCCCAGACAGCCAGGAUGUUGGCUUAGAAGCAGCCAUCAUUUAAAGAAAGCGUAAUAGCUCACUGGUCGAGUCGGCCUGCGCGGAAGAUGUAACGGGGCUAAACCAUGCACCGAAGCUGCGGCAGCGACGCUUAUGCGUUGUUGGGUAGGGGAGCGUUCUGUAAGCCUGCGAAGGUGUGCUGUGAGGCAUGCUGGAGGUAUCAGAAGUGCGAAUGCUGACAUAAGUAACGAUAAAGCGGGUGAAAAGCCCGCUCGCCGGAAGACCAAGGGUUCCUGUCCAACGUUAAUCGGGGCAGGGUGAGUCGACCCCUAAGGCGAGGCCGAAAGGCGUAGUCGAUGGGAAACAGGUUAAUAUUCCUGUACUUGGUGUUACUGCGAAGGGGGGACGGAGAAGGCUAUGUUGGCCGGGCGACGGUUGUCCCGGUUUAAGCGUGUAGGCUGGUUUUCCAGGCAAAUCCGGAAAAUCAAGGCUGAGGCGUGAUGACGAGGCACUACGGUGCUGAAGCAACAAAUGCCCUGCUUCCAGGAAAAGCCUCUAAGCAUCAGGUAACAUCAAAUCGUACCCCAAACCGACACAGGUGGUCAGGUAGAGAAUACCAAGGCGCUUGAGAGAACUCGGGUGAAGGAACUAGGCAAAAUGGUGCCGUAACUUCGGGAGAAGGCACGCUGAUAUGUAGGUGAAGUCCCUUGCGGAUGGAGCUGAAAUCAGUCGAAGAUACCAGCUGGCUGCAACUGUUUAUUAAAAACACAGCACUGUGCAAACACGAAAGUGGACGUAUACGGUGUGACGCCUGCCCGGUGCCGGAAGGUUAAUUGAUGGGGUCAGCGCAAGCGAAGCUCUUGAUCGAAGCCCCGGUAAACGGCGGCCGUAACUAUAACGGUCCUAAGGUAGCGAAAUUCCUUGUCGGGUAAGUUCCGACCUGCACGAAUGGCGUAAUGAUGGCCAGGCUGUCUCCACCCGAGACUCAGUGAAAUUGAACUCGCUGUGAAGAUGCAGUGUACCCGCGGCAAGACGGAAAGACCCCGUGAACCUUUACUAUAGCUUGACACUGAACAUUGAGCCUUGAUGUGUAGGAUAGGUGGGAGGCUUUGAAGUGUGGACGCCAGUCUGCAUGGAGCCGACCUUGAAAUACCACCCUUUAAUGUUUGAUGUUCUAACGUUGACCCGUGAUCCGGGUUGCGGACAGUGUCUGGUGGGUAGUUUGACUGGGGCGGUCUCCUCCUAAAGAGUAACGGAGGAGCACGAAGGUUGGCUAAUCCUGGUCGGACAUCAGGAGGUUAGUGCAAUGGCAUAAGCCAGCUUGACUGCGAGCGUGACGGCGCGAGCAGGUGCGAAAGCAGGUCAUAGUGAUCCGGUGGUUCUGAAUGGAAGGGCCAUCGCUCAACGGAUAAAAGGUACUCCGGGGAUAACAGGCUGAUACCGCCCAAGAGUUCAUAUCGACGGCGGUGUUUGGCACCUCGAUGUCGGCUCAUCACAUCCUGGGGCUGAAGUAGGUCCCAAGGGUAUGGCUGUUCGCCAUUUAAAGUGGUACGCGAGCUGGGUUUAGAACGUCGUGAGACAGUUCGGUCCCUAUCUGCCGUGGGCGCUGGAGAACUGAGGGGGGCUGCUCCUAGUACGAGAGGACCGGAGUGGACGCAUCACUGGUGUUCGGGUUGUCAUGCCAAUGGCACUGCCCGGUAGCUAAAUGCGGAAGAGAUAAGUGCUGAAAGCAUCUAAGCACGAAACUUGCCCCGAGAUGAGUUCUCCCUGACUCCUUGAGAGUCCUGAAGGAACGUUGAAGACGACGACGUUGAUAGGCCGGGUGUGUAAGCGCAGCGAUGCGUUGAGCUAACCGGUACUAAUGAACCGUGAGGCUUAACCU
rnacentral:rRNA from 1 species